rnacentral:lncRNA from 1 species
UUACGUUAAUGUUAACUAUACACCAAAGUAAAUCACUAUAGUUUAGUUGAUUAUAGUGGACGAUUAUAAUAGACUAAGGCCCAUCUUUUAAUUCCAAUAUUUCCUUGAUAUUCUGUGUGGCUUUUAUGUUAUAAGCUGGACUCUGUAAUUGAAAAAUUGAAAUGGAUUAGAGAUAGAGAAAUCCAGAAGAAUUCCCUCAAGCGUUGCUCUGUUCCUCUCUGUUUUCUUUGUUUCCAUGCUCUCUUUCUUGCCAGAUUAGCUACAGAAAUAUCGCAAGGUGCUUGACGCCUUGACCUCGUGCCUAUGCCCAUCUGCCGGUCCCCACCCUAGACAGUACGCACGAAAAACGGAGCAUUUUAUUAGCAUAUGAUUAAUUAAAUAUUUUUUUUUCAAAAAUUGAUCAAUAUGAUUUUUUAAACAACUUUCGUAUAGAAAUAUUUUUUUUUAAAAAAGCACCAUUCAAUAGUUUAACGAAGCAAUGGAGUUGGAAACUUUGGAGUUCCAAACAAACCCUAAUUAAUAAACCAACAGCCGCACGCCCGGGUGGCCUCGAGGAGAUCGGGAAUAGGGUAGAGCAGUCGUCAUAGCGUUGGGAGUUGACAGGUUAGUUCGUUUCCUCUGGUUCCCAGCUCUCCACUCUCGUCUUCCACACGCACGUUUUUCAAACUGCUAAACGGUAUGUUUUUUUUUUGCAAAAAAGUUUCUAUAUGAAAGUUGCUUAAGAAAAUCUUAUUGGUCCAUUUUUGAAAAAAAAUAGCUAAUACUUAAUUAAUUACACGCUAAGGGGCAUCCACAAUGUGAAGCAAAAGUAGUCCAUAGGCAAUAUAAUAUUCUAUUCAGCUACCUUUUAUCAUUAUACAACUAGUCUAUAUGGAGAAAAUAACAAAAGGUAUCCAUAAGCAUAUGGACUACCCAUCUGGAAUAAAUAAUACUAUCUAUCUCUAUUUCUCUCUCAUGUCCUAAUGCUGCUACCUUGUAUCUAUAUACAUCGUGGAGGUUGCUAUAGUUAAAGUCUUUUUAUGUGGGUCCCAUCUAUAUGGAUCACUUUUGCCAUAUAUAUUGGUGAUGCCCUAAUAGACUGCUCGGUUUUCUGUGCGGAGGAGUUUGGUUCCCAACCAUCCAAAACGAACACAACCUAGUAGCUAGGCUUUUGCAUUUUACCACCUUCGUCCUAAAAAAAUUACAAUUAUAGGUUAUUUAGCAUAUACUAUUAAGAUUGAUGAAAAACUAUGGUAUGUCUCAUUAGAGCAUCACCAACAGCCAUCCUAUAUUCUUCCCAAAACUGAUUUUAAUGUAUUUUAUAUAAAAGAUGUAUCUAACAUAUCCCCUAUAGUCCUACACAUGUUUUGGAGUUUCCUUCCCCGUAUUUCUCGCUCCGUUGAUUCGAGGGAGGAGUGCGAUCUAUUCUCGGCGCAUACGGAGAAAAAAAAAUUCGUCGGUAGUUUAACAGAAGGGGUCUACUUUGUGGAGAAAAAUAAAUUCGUUGGUAGUUUAACAGAAGGGGUCCACUUUUAGUUUUUUUAUAAAUUUUAGGCUUUCUUUUAAGGCGACAUCAGUUUAUUUAUUUACUUCCUAUUUUCAGUUUAGGAAAACUAAAAACAAAUUUUCAGAGGAAGAUUAUACGUAAUCUCUUGGUGAUGCUCUUAAAUGGUGUAUAAGAAUAAAAUUGAAUGAGAAGUGAUUAUGAGACAAUUAAUACUCUAUUGUGACAAUUAUUUUUGACAGAUUUGAAUCCUAUAAUUGCAAUUAUUAUGGGACAUAGGUUAUAAUUAUGUAGCACAGCUUACAAAGCAACCGCUUGUAAUAAACUUUUGUAUUUUAUUAUUUCUGUAUUAUCAUAAAUAGCAGUGCUUGUAUUAAACUGCCCGAGUACACAAAUAACUAUAGAUGAUAAUACAAGCACUGCUUACAUUGCAACUCAUACAUUUAACAGUAUUGCAUAUACAUUUAAUAGUAUAGUGCGUACGCCCACGAGUACAUGUGUACGAGUAUACGAACUAGUGAUUACCUGCCACACCGGCAAUGUGGUUGUGUAUGGAUAUUUAUACGCGCGCACGUACGUAUGCUAUACACACAUGUAUGAGAUGGUGCGCCGGGAAGUAUGGCUGGAUUCUUAUAUGUUCCUUAUUACAAUAUAGCUGAACGCCAUCUUCGAUCCGAUGAAUAUCUUCUAUGCAUGCUUCCGCUGCUCACGCGCUACAUGCAGAUUACUACUUUAGAUAUUGAUAUUAGAAACAAAUACUUAAGUUUGUGUAUGAAUGUGCCUGGAAUAUAUUUCUGAUAUAAGUAAAUACUUCUCCGUAAAUAUUUCACUGUUCCCUUAAUAAUUAAUUAAACUCGUAAGGCAGGGUACAUUAGAUAUAUGUACCUAUGUAUUUAUCAUGGGCCGGGGAAGUACGCGAUUGUGUUUACCGCCUGGAUUGCUUGCUCCAUAUCAUUCUCCGAUCAGCUGUGUCAAAGGUAUAUACAAACAAAGUUAUUAAUCCACAACGGUGGAACUGAUGAACUUAUUCCAAAUAUUGUUUUUUUUUUUUCGCAUGCAUGCAUGUAUCGAUUGAUCGGUGUUGCACAUUUGGCCAAUUCAGUGAAGUCAUGUCCCGAGGACAAGAGCCUAACGACAGUUCAGGCCACCGUGAGUAUAUGCAUAUCUAUAAUGAUAUGCACAAUAUUUUAACAAACAUAUCUAUAAUUUUAUAAUAUUUAACAUAUACUUAUCAAUACAUUUCACACUAAAGUGCCGGCAUCAUUUGUUUGUUUAAUAAUAAAUGCUAAUAAACCAUGAUGUUUUAUUAUAUUUUUUUACUUCUAUCUUGAUUGUCUAAAAAAAUAUAUAUUUCGAUCUGUGUAUUCCACCGAUGGAGAAUACUUCCUCCACAUCUUUUAAGUGCAGUUGUGGAUUUUUUUAAUAUUUAAUCAUCCGUUUUAUUUGAAAUUAUUUUAUAAUUAGUUUUUUUAUAAGAUGAUAAACCAUAAAUAGUAUUUUAUGUUUGACUUUGUUUUUUAAGUUCUUCAUAAACUUUUCAAGACAGUCAAACGUUGGACACGGGAACUCACGACUACACUUAAAAUGGGAUGGAGUGAGUAUAUAUAUACUUUAUCCGUUGUGCAUUCCUCCAAUGGAGAAUAUAUACUUCCUCCAUCGUGCAAUAAGUUCUAUUUUAACUUUUUUUUUCAUUUGUCUCAAAAUUUUUUAGUAAUCAAUACAUCAAAUUUUGUGAAAUAGAAAAUAAUUAUAUUAGGAGAAGAUAGAGGGAGAAAUAGUUACAUCGAUUGUGAUUUGAUAAAGUAGUGUCAUGCUAGUUGUUUUGUUUUUCACUGGUAUACAUGUGAUGGGUAAAAAGCAAAUAUAUUUCGAACGAAGGUAGUAUAUAUAUAGGCGUGUACGUACCGGGUGGUUCGCUGACAGACGGUUGUUGCGAUCCAGCUGUCAGAACGCGAGAUAAUCAGGUAUCAGAACGCGCUGUAAAUUAAACGUGAACAACAAUAAUUGAGUGUACAGGCGUAUGUAUAUAGUACGUACCGGCAGAUGUGCCUUGUUUACUGGAACGUCUGUAUGUCAUCCUUGUGCCUUCUGCUAUGUAAAAAAAAGUGCAAAUUAAUUAACACUAUUGCAAAAUACCAUGUAGAGGCCGACCAGCUGACACCUACGAAGCUUCUUCUAUAUUUUUCCAAUGUAAAGUUAAGAACAGUUACCUAUAACCACUCAUCGGUACCCAGUUUGUUUUAAAAACCAGCACCAUAAUCCUCCGAAAUUAUUAGUGUCAGUUCUUAUAACAAACUGGUAGACAAGGUCAUACAUAAGUACCGGCUCUUAUAAUAAACCGGCACCUAUAAAUGUGAUACCAUUGGUACUGGUUUUUAUCAUAAACCGACACAUAGGAGCAUCACAUAUGUGCCGGUUUUCAAUAAAAACUAGCACCUAUGAGUCCAUAGGUACAGGUUUACAAUUAAAACCAGUACCGAUAAUAACGCAACUUAUAUACGCAUGUUUUUUAUCGAACUUUUUCAUAUGGAAGUCGGGUGAAGAUAAAUUUUAUGUCAAAUUUCUAGAGCUCGACAAGAUCUACAACUUUCUAGUUAAUCACUUUGGAUUUAAGGUCGUUUGGAUGUCUGAAAAUAUGUUGCAAGAUCUCAGAUCUAUUUGCAUAGGUGGAUAUUUAAAAUUUUUGAACGAUAUUGGAUGGAGACAAAACCUAUAUAAAUUAUAUCUACGUUGUUUUAGUUGACAAACUUUUUAUUUGAGCUCUCUUUGGUGUUAAAUAUGAAUUAUAAUUUCGGAUGACAAUAAUUUCAAAAGAAUAACAUUUGUUUCCAAGACAACAAAUGCUUGUCAGUGAGAUGGUGAGGCUUUGGUUCAAGGGAAAGGUUUUGAGUUGCAAUCUUACUUGACACAUAUAUACAUGAAUAUGAGUUAAAAAAAUCGUGUGACUUGUGGGAAAAAGAGUACGAUCGUAUAGGUUGCUAAUAAAAAUAUCAAAUAUUUUUUCGAUAUUUUAGCAUCUGCAAAAUUAAAAAAAAAUUGUGCAACCCCGAAGGUACCGAAUAAUUUGUGCCGGUACUUACAACCCCAUUAAAACGGGUACCUAUAACCGUGUAUGUAGUAGUGUAACAAAAGAUAAUCAUAGUAUCUCAUAACACAGUAAACAUGAGUUAAGAAUGAUUGAACCUUAUACGAACGGUAUAUAUAUCGUAUGAAAAAAUAAACGUCGAUUCGGCUGCUGGGUUAGAAGAUGACAAUACUACGAUAAUACGUACAUUAUAUUCAUCUCAUCAUUAGGAAGAAAUAAAGAUGGCCAGUACCAUAAGUUAAAAAGAGCCUUUAAUAUAUAACACAGUUGAUUUUUUUGUCACACGUUCAUCUUAUUAAAAAAAUUAAAAUUAAUUUUGUUAUCACUCAAAGUACUUCAAGCAUAAUUUAUCUCUUCGUAAUCCGAUGAGCAUCUCAACCCCUAUUUUCGAUUUCCCAGGCAGACGUGUGGUUCCAAAAAAGUAUCCGACUGGAAAAAUGAAAGGGCCUUGUCUGCGAAAAUGAAUUUUUAGUAGUGUUCUACAUUUGCAAAAAAAAAAUUAAAGAAGAUGAAUAAUUAAGUAUGUGUUUAAAAUUUAACUAUAUCAUUUCCAAAAAAUGGAGGAAGUAUUUACAUUUCUCGAUGCCCAUAUAGCCAAUCUUGUGUAGAAGAAUGGAGAGUCACGCAUUAAAUCCGAGAAAGUCAUUAUUCAUUAAGAUGAUAGGUGGUAGGAUUGAAAUAUGCGUAUCAAAAAUAAAUUUUGCAGAUUUAGAAAUUUUUCAGAUUUGGAAAUAUGCCUAUCAAAAAUAGAUGGAGGGUUUAAAGUUUAACAUGCAAAUAUGUUACAUUAUCAUCUACUAACAAUUACAUUUAAGCAUCAUAUGAGCAUGCUAUAUUAUCUAUAAUUUUAUAAUUUAUUAAUUUUUACAGAUUUAAAAUGCAAGCAUGUUAAAUCAUCCCACAUAAUUCAGAUAAUAUUUCAAUAUAUCUCUCCAUCAUGUUUUAUAACAUCCUAUAUAACUAUACAGUCCAUCCUUAUAACCCACUAAAUUCUAAAGUUUAACAUGCAAAGAUAUUACAUCAUCAUCUACUAACAAUUACAUUUAAGCAUCAUACAAGCAAGCUAUAUUAUCUAUAAUUUUAUAAUUUAUUAAAUUUUAGAGAUUUCAAAUGCAAGCAGGUUAAAUCAUCCCACAUAAUUCACACAAUAUUUCAAUAUAUCUCUCCAUCAUUUUUUAUAAUAUCCUAUAUAACUAUAUAGUUCAUCCUUAUAACCCACUAAAUCAUAAAGUUUAACAUGUAAAGAUGUCACAUCAUUAUAUACUAAUAAUUACAUUUAAGCAUCAUACAAGCAUGUUAUAUUAUCUAUAAUUUUGUAAUUUAUUAAAUUUUAAAGAUUUAAAAUGCAAGCAUGUUAAAUCAUCCCACAUAAUUCAGAUAAUAUUUCAAAAUAUCUCUCCAUCAUUUUUUAUAAUAUCCUAUAUAACUGUAUAGUCCAUCCUUAUAACCCACUAAAUCGUAAAGUUUAAAAUGCAAAGAUAUCAAAUCAUCAUCUACUAACAAUUACAUUUAAGCAUCAUACGAACAUGCUAUAUUAUCUAUAAUUUUAUAAUUUAUUAAAUUUUAGAGAUUUAAAAUGCAAACAGGUUAAAUCAUGCCACAUAAUUCACAUAACAUUUCAAUAUAUCUCUCCAUUAUUUUUUUAUAAUAUCCUAUAUAACUAUAUAAUUCAUCCUUAUAACCUACU